rnacentral:lncRNA from 1 species
UGUGUACUAUGUAUAAGAAAUAUAUACAAAUGUAAAAGACAGCUAAUUACAGAUAACAAAGUUCUAGACUAUUCCAUAUCUAUCCGUUGCCACACCAGCUGGAAUGUAAUUGCAACUAUGAGUAUAAUAUGGAUGGUUUGAUUGGAUGGCACGUGGCAUGAUUAGGAGUGGGGGCAGAAUGGUCCUUUGACUUAACCAUAGGAGAUGUUAAUUCAAACCUAACUAGGUUACUUCGUGUACUUUCAAUCUUAGCCGAAAUUCCCUUCGCACCGCUUCUUCUCUCAUCGAUGGACAAGGAAGAAUAAAUCUUCCGAUCAUCAUCUUCAACCUUUUCUCGAUCAACUUCGUCGUUAACAACUACGGAAAAUAAGGUCAUUUAUUUUACUCAAGAAAAAAAAACAAGAGAAGAGGGGUCUAUAAAUCAAAGGCGGAUUAAAUACAAGGAAAGAGAAAUAUAACUUUAUAAGACUUAUUUAAUUCUAAACUAUUUCAAUCUCAUAUUCUAUUUUUUUUGGAGAAAAAGAAGUGAAAGUUGGUAAGUAACAAAUGAGCAAAUUCAACUUUCUUAUUAAGACUUUUGGUCAAAUUUCAUAAGAUUACAAUAACUUAAAUCGGACAAAAAGAGCUAUAGGGGAUAUUACCUAAAGGCCUAGACUUAUGCCACGCUAAAAUCAAUAAUAUAAAUUCCUUAAACGAAUAUUUAAAAAAAAUUGAGCUAUAACCACAAAAUUGCACCUCCACAUUACAUUUAAAAAGUAUCAAAACUACCCCACUUAGGUACAGGACAUACACCCCUUCGAUGAUUUCUCCCUUCUACAUUCUUUUUUCCAAUUAGUCACAAACACAACGUCCCACCCCCUCUCAAUAUAAAAAAUUCCAUAACAAUGACAAAUAUGGCAUGAUUAUAUAUAUAAAAAGUUGCAUGGACAGGAAAUUCAAAUUCUUAAGCUAGUAAAAACUAGCAAUUCGUACUUCAGAUUAGUAAAUUAAUGAAUAUGACUGCUUUAGCUCUAUUAUAUCGAUCUUUACUUAAAAUUUUGAUCCUAGCAUCAAGUUCUGCUUUGAGAGAAUGGCUCCACCCGAUGUGAUUCAAUGUCAUAUUUCGACCAUUUAUACUACAGAACGAAUGCCUAGUUUGAGGAAAAUAAAUUAUUUUCUAAGUGAUUCAAAGCGAUACAUCAUAGAUAAAAUGAGGGAUCUCAAUUUCUUAUUUAUUCAUGGAAUAUUAUAGGGAAAAAACAAAAGGCAAUCUAAUACCCCAUCAUCGCUUAAACCGCAGUCUGAAAAUAUUGGAAUUGAAUUAUCUAUCGAAGUUGAAAUAGCGAAUUCUUCCAUUACCAAAAAAAGAAAAGAAGUAAUAUUAUCCCAUCAUUUCACAAUUUCAUAAUAGGAUUUUUCUAGAACAGUAAGUUGUAUCAAUUUAUUUAAAUAUUGUAGCGAAUUUAAAAUUAAGACGUUAGGAGAUUCGAACUAAAAAAGUAAGUUUUGAGAUAUACCCUUUUAUUUUAUUUCUAUUUCGUAUAAAAUUUGAUUUAAGCAUACUCCCUCCGAUCCACUUUAAGUAACUUUUUUUGGCUCUUUUCACACAUAUUAAGGAAUCAAACUUUCUACCAAGCAAAUAAUUCUCUGUAUUGAUAUUUCUCCUCCUCGACACCGUGUUGCUUUUCUGUAAUAGCUUUCAUUAAUACAAUCAAGCUUUUUUUCAUUCUCAAUUUUCUUUUCUGUUAUCUCAAUUGCUCUUGAUAUUGGUUUUCUCGCACGACACUGACAAUCUUGUCUAGCGUACGGAGGGUACCCUAGUUGACGGAUAGUGACUGCACGGAUAUCGAUUGCUUAGCCUUACGUUGUCCUUCCAAGGAAUCUCAGGAAGGCACCGUGUAACAUUAAUUAACAAUAAAAUUGAUUAUAUUAACCUUAAUUUGCUCAUUAAAAAUAUAACAAACUAAUCCUAAACUCUUUACAUUAAUAACAACUUUAAAAAGAAGAAGUUAAUUCUUUCCUGAUAUCUGAAAAUAUUAAUAUUAUGAAUCACAAAAAAAUCAAAAAAAUCACUUAAGGAGUAUUAAAUGUUCUCAAACCUAUAAGACAGCAUCAGCAUCCUUAUCUCCGACGUAAGAAUAAGCAAUUCACAACUCCUCCGACACGUACUCUUUCUACAUUUUAUAAGUGGGAAUUAAAGACACAACAUUAAAAAAUGAUGUUGGAAGUUGGAACCUUAACGAAACGUAGAACCUUCUGGAAAAUAAAAAACUUUUACCUAUCAAAAAAUUUUAAGGUACCUUCUCGCGACUUCCUAACUAGAAAUUAGUUACUGGGACCCAUGAUUGCCCCUCACACCCUAAAAAUUUGACCCGACCUUUUCUCCAUUUUACCCCUACUAUUAUUAUUCCCCUCUCGAACACAUCAUAUUCUCCUUAUCAACCACUUCUUCUUCAAAUUUUCCUUCUAUAUUUACCUCCUUCGAACUUUCUAGAAACAAAAACACAGCUUUCUCUCAAUCCCUCUUUGGGUUUGGAUCUGUAAUAGAAGUAGCAGUGGAUGUCAUGGUGCCGUUGCCGGUUGAACAAAGCGGCGAAUCUACCGCCGGUGAGAAUCAGAGAUCUCUUCCGACGCCAUUUCUGACGAAAACUUAUCAACUCGUCGAUGAUGCUGCCAUCGACGACUUGAUCUCGUGGAAUGAAGAUGGAACGACGUUCAUUGUUUGGAAACCUGCUGAAUUUGCUAGGGAUUUGCUUCCUAAAUAUUUUAAGCAUAAUAAUUUCUCUAGUUUCGUUCGGCAGCUUAAUACUUACGUAAGAUUCUUAUAUUCUUAAUAAAAAAGUCUGAUUUUUUAGUCCUUUUUUGGUUAUUCUGUUUACAUUGAUUAACUUGUUUCGUGAAAUUAUUGUUUAGGGAUUCAGAAAAGUUGUACCUGAUCGGUGGGAAUUCGCGAAUGAUUGUUUCCGGAGAGGAGAAAAAGGGCUUCUUCGUGACAUUCAACGCCGGAAAAUCUCUCCGGCAGGGACU